GAAACCGAGUCUUAAUUGGGCGUUAAGUUGCAGGGUAUAGACCCGAAACCCGGUGAUCUAGCCAUGGGCAGGUUGAAGGUUGGGUAACACUAACUGGAGGACCGAACCGACUAAUGUUGAAAAAUUAGCGGAUGACCUGUGGCUGGGGGUGAAAGGCCAAUCAAACCGGGAGAUAGCUGGUUCUCCCCGAAAGCUAUUUAGGUAGCGCCUCGUGAAUUCAUCUCCGGGGGUAGAGCACUGUUUCGGCUAGGGGGCCAUCCCGGCUUACCAACCCGAUGCAAACUGCGAAUACCGGAGAAUGUUAUCACGGGAGACACACGGCGGGUGCUAACGUCCGUCGUGAAGAGGGAAACAACCCAGACCGCCAGCUAAGGUCCCAAAGUCAUGGUUAAGUGGGAAACGAUGUGGGAAGGCCCAGACAGCCAGGAUGUUGGCUUAGAAGCAGCCAUCAUUUAAAGAAAGCGUAAUAGCUCACUGGUCGAGUCGGCCUGCGCGGAAGAUGUAACGGGGCUAAACCAUGCACCGAAGCUGCGGCAGCGACGCUUAUGCGUUGUUGGGUAGGGGAGCGUUCUGUAAGCCUGUGAAGGUGUGUCGUGAGGCAUGCUGGAGGUAUCAGAAGUGCGAAUGCUGACAUAAGUAACGAUAAAGCGGGUGAAAAGCCCGCUCGCCGGAAGACCAAGGGUUCCUGUCCAACGUUAAUCGGGGCAGGGUGAGUCGACCCCUAAGGCGAGGCCGAAAGGCGUAGUCGAUGGGAAACGGGUUAAUAUUCCCGUACUUGGUGUUACUGCGAAGGGGGGACGGAGAAGGCUAUGUUGGCCGGGCGACGGUUGUCCCGGUUUAAGCGUGUAGGUGUGUGUUCCAGGUAAAUCCGGUUCACUUUAACACUGAGGCGUGACGACGAGGCACUACGGUGCUGAAGCAACAAAUGCCCUGCUUCCAGGAAAAGCCUCUAAGCAUCAGGUAACAUCAAAUCGUACCCCAAACCGACACAGGUGGUCAGGUAGAGAAUACCAAGGCGCUUGAGAGAACUCGGGUGAAGGAACUAGGCAAAAUGGUGCCGUAACUUCGGGAGAAGGCACGCUGACACGUAGGUGAAGUGAUUUACUCA
rnacentral:rRNA from 1 species